UCGAGAAUUUUUCACAAUGGGCGCAAGCCUGAUGGAGCGACGCCGCGUGGGGGAUGAAUGGCUUCGGCCCGUAAACCCCUGUCAUUUGCGAUCAACCGUUAUUAUUUAAAAGAUGAUAACCUGAUAGUAGCGAAAGAGGAAGGGACGGCUAACUCUGUGCCAGCAGCCGCGGUAAUACAGAGGUCCCAAGCGUUGUUCGGAUUCACUGGGCGUAAAGGGUGCGUAGGUGGCGGGGUAAGUCGGAUGUGAAAUCUCGGAGCUCAACUCCGAAAUGGCAUUGGAAACUACCCUGCUCGAGGAUUGGAGGGGGGACUGGAAUACUUGGUGUAGCAGUGAAAUGCGUAGAUAUCAAGUGGAACACCAGUGGCGAAGGCGAGUCCCUGGACAACUCCUGACACUGAGGCACGAAAGCUAGGGGAGCAAACA
rnacentral:rRNA from 1 species